GAGCGGUAAAGAGAGUAGCUUGCUACUUUGCUGACGAGCGGCGGACGGGUGAGUAAUGCUUGGGAACAUGCCUUGAGGUGGGGGACAACAGUUGGAAACGACUGCUAAUACCGCAUAAUGUCUACGGACCAAAGGGGGCUUCGGCUCUCGCCUUUAGAUUGGCCCAAGUGGGAUUAGCUAGUUGGUGAGGUAAUGGCUCACCAAGGCGACGAUCCCUAGCUGGUUUGAGAGGAUGAUCAGCCACACUGGGACUGAGACACGGCCCAGACUCCUACGGGAGGCAGCAGUGGGGAAUAUUGCACAAUGGGCGCAAGCCUGAUGCAGCCAUGCCGCGUGUGUGAAGAAGGCCUUCGGGUUGUAAAGCACUUUCAGUCAGGAGGAAAGGUUAGUAGUUAAUACCUGCUAGCUGUGACGUUACUGACAGAAGAAGCACCGGCUAACUCCGUGCCAGCAGCCGCGGUAAUACGGAGGGUGCGAGCGUUAAUCGGAAUUACUGGGCGUAAAGCGUACGCAGGCGGUUUGUUAAGCGAGAUGUGAAAGCCCCGGGCUCAACCUGGGAACUGCAUUUCGAACUGGCAAACUAGAGUGUGAUAGAGGGUGGUAGAAUUUCAGGUGUAGCGGUGAAAUGCGUAGAGAUCUGAAGGAAUACCGAUGGCGAAGGCAGCCACCUGGGUCAACACUGACGCUCAUGUACGAAAGCGUGNGGAGCAAACAGGAUUAGAUACCCUGGUAGUCCACGCCGUANACGAUGUCUACUAGAAGCUCGGAACCUCGGUUCUGUUUUUCAAAGCUAACGCA
rnacentral:rRNA from 1 species